AAUGAGCUCCUAAGUUCCCAAAGCUCCAAAACUUGUUUCAAAAGCUUAAAUCUUCAAAACCAAGUGAAAACAAGUGAAAAUCUUGAAAGAUUUAGAGGAAGAACAUCAAAAAUGGGUGAGGGACGGCGGAGAGCUCACCUUGGCCGAAAAUGGGGAAAAGCUCACCCGUUUUCGGCUAAGGGACCCUUUUAUAGUGGCUGGCCAGACCACGUUCGGGGGCCGAAUGUGCCUCCGUAUCCAUGCAAUGUUCAGCGGCCGAAUAUGAGGUUCGGCGGCCGAACCUGGACUUCCCUCACUCAUGCUUUCGGGGGCCUAACGUGCCUCCAAAACGCAUGCAUGUUCGGCGGCCGAACUUGACUUUCGGCGGCCGAACCUGGGUUUUCCUCCAAGGACUUUUCAUGCUAAAACUCAUUUAAUUUCAUACUUAAAAUCAUAAAACACAUUAAAACAUUUUUGUAAAACAUGAUUCUACCCUUCUAGAGGUCUCCGACAUCCGAGAUUCCACCGGACGGUAGGAAUU
rnacentral:lncRNA from 1 species